rnacentral:rRNA from 1 species
UAUAGGUUUGGUCCCAGCCUUCCUGUUAACUUUCAAUAGACUUAUACAUGCAAGCAUCCACGCCCCGGUGAGUAACGCCCUUCGAAUCACACAGGACUAAAAGGAGCAGGUAUCAAGCACACACUCUUGUAGCUCACAACGCCUUGCUUAACCACACCCCCACGGGAGACAGCAGUAACAAAAAUUAAGCCAUAAACGAAAGUUUGACUAAGCCAUAUUGACUAGGGUUGGUAAAUCUCGUGCCAGCCACCGCGGUCAUACGAUUGACCCAAGCUAACAGGAGUACGGCGUAAAGCGUGUUAAAGCAUCAUACUAAAUAGAGUUAAAUUUUAAUUAAACUGUAAAAAGCCAUAAUUAUAGCAAAAAUAAAUGACGAAAGUAACCCUACAAUAGCUGAUACACCAUAGCUAAGACCCAAACUGGGAUUAGAUACCCCACUAUGCUUAGCCCUCAACACAAAUAAUUAU